CCCCUUAAAUGUUUUCUUCUUCAUUAAGAAAAUUAUAAUUAAAAGGUUCUUAGUAAUUUGCCCUGUAGAUUGUGUUAUUGAGUUAGAAGGCAGUGGCUCUGUAAUUGUUCUUUAGACGAACACUGCCAUCUUGUGUUCACAUUGUGGAAAGCAGCAAGUGACAGGAAAUAGGAAGAACAGAGUAGCCAUUUUGUAGAAGCUCUUGCAGUGGAAAGACCUACGUGCUGUGUCUCUGCUUACAACUUGGUAUUCUGCCCUUGAUAAGGCAUGAUCUGUAAGUUUAAUGUAUAUUAGUUUGCUUAGGUAUAUAUUAGAGCUUUGUUUAGCAAUAUUAUGACCUUUUGUGUUACUGCAUGUUAUAUUUGUUAAUGAAGUAAUUAGAGCUACCUGUCUUCCCAUGUGCUAGCCUAUAGCAUGCUAGUAUGUAGUUUAAAAGUCAUAUUCAUGUAUGUACAAGGAAACUGAAUGUAUAUUCAUGUCAUUAUUGUUUCUGUUACAGUUUUACAAAGAAAAUAAGGAACAAAUAUUACAAGUGGUACAUCAGUAAAGCUUCAAAGAAUGCUACACUGUCUCACGAGUGCUUACUGAAGCCAUUUAUGUUUAGCUCGCUGCAUAGGCUAAAUAAGUACUUUUGGCUGAGGGCAGAAGAGUAAAAAGAUCGUCUAAACAUCAAGUGCAUCCCUGCAAUCUUGAGAAACAUUGCUUUAGCAAACAUGUCCAAACAUGGAGACAGCUCACGUCUUUCGCAACUGGAAGUCAGAUCAGAGUGCAAAUCAUCCACGUCACGUCGAUCAAGUAGCUCAGCAGCCAGCCUCGCUGCAGCACAAGCACGAGCCAACGCUGAAGCUGCCCGCGCUAGAGCAGAGUAUGCCAAACGACAAAUAGACAUGGAGGUUGAGAAGGCUCGUAUGGAAGCUAAACUUAACGCACUCAAACAAGAGGGAGAAGCUGAGGCUGCACUCGCUGCAGCAAGGGUCCUGGAAGCUGCAGUUUUGGAACAGCCAGAGUUUGUGGAACCACCAAACCUACCUGCUACGGCCACAUCUGUCAGUCGCACUGAAGAGUAUGUAAAAAGCCACUUUCACAAUAAUACUAAUAUGAAACCAGAAAAAAUGGACAAAGAAGAGGAUGACACUCACAACAGCCAUAAGGUAGAACCAAGCCAACCACCCACUGCUCCAGAUUCAUGUGAAUACACCAACAGAUCUCCACCCGCUUGUCAGUCCAGGUUUUCACCACCUCACUCAAACCUAAGAACAUCUGACAUAUCACACCUUGCUACGCUCCUCUCACGUCGUGAUCUAUUGACAGCAGGGCUCACAGUGUUUGAUAAUAAACCGGAGACUUAUUUAGCCUGGAAAUCUAUGUUUCACAAUGCCACUGAAGAUUUGGAUCUAAAAUGUAGUGAAGAGCUUGACUUAAUCAUUAAAUGGCUCAGUGGCGAAUCCCUUCAGCAUGCUCUCAGAGUUAGAGCUGUACACAUUAACGACCCAGUCACUGGUCUUCAACGUUUAUGGCAAAGGCUAGACAGAAAUUAUGGCUCGUCUGAAGUCAUUGAAGCUUCUUUGUUUAAACGUUUGGAGAGUUUUCCUAGAGUGUCGCCCAAAGACAACCACCUCUUACAGGAGUUAGCUGAUCUGCUUUUAGAAAUCGAAGCAGCCAAAAACGAAGGUUAUCUUCCUGGCCUCAGCUUUCUUGACACUUCAAGGGGAAUAAACCCAAUAGUAGAAAAGCUCCCACAUAGCAUGCAAGAGGCGUGGGUCAACCAAGGAUCUAAGUAUAAGAAAGAGCAUGAUGUUCACUAUCCACCUUUCACCUUCUUAGUUCAGUUUGUUAAUGGCUAUGCUGAAAUGAAAAUGGAUCCCAGCUUCUCUCUGCAAAACUGCUACAGUGCACCUAUGAAAGUGGAACGGCCACCAGUAAGACAACCACGGUUCAGAGCCCCAGUGACAACAAACAAAACGCAGAUUGGCGCAUCCUAUAAUAAGUUACAGUCUCAGCCACUUGAACCAGAUAAACAGUGCCCUGUUCACAAAAAGCCACAUUCACUUGCCAAAUGUAGAGGCUUUAGAAUGAAAACACUAGAUGAGAGGAAGAGUCUUCUGAAACAGCUUUCCAUCUGCUUCAAGUGUCUUUCGUCUACUGAUCACAGAGCCAAAGACUGUAAGGACGUCAUUUGCUGUUCAGAAUGCAACAGCGACAUGCACAUUACUGCUAUGCAUCCUGGUCCACCCCCGUGGACAGUUGCAUACUCCGAAACAUUAACAGAGGCACAAGGCGGGGAGCCAGAACCCCUAAGCCCCAAAGUGUCUACGUCCAAUUGUACUGAAGUAUGCGGGCAAGGACUGCAAGGAAAGUCUUGUUCAAAAAUUUGCCUUGUCAGUGUAUAUCACAGGUCAGAACCGAAUAAGAAAAAGAAAAUGUAUGCCAUUUUAGAUGACCAAAGUAAUGUCUCACUGGCUCGGUCCCCCUUUUUUGAUAUGUUUGAUCAGCAUGGUGAAGUCCUUCCAUAUACACUGAAAACAUGCUCUGGCACAGUAGACAAAAUGGGGCGUAGAGCUCAUGGCUUUGUCAUUGAGAAUAUUAACGGGAAGGUGUCUAUGCCACUGCCUAGUCUCACUGAAUGCAAUCAGAUUCCAGACAACAGGAGCGAAAUACCUACAGCAAAAGCAGCAGCUGUUCAUCCUCAUUUGUCUCAUAUAGCUGGAGAAAUACCACCUCUAAAUCCAUCAGCAGAUAUUCUCCUCCUCCUGGGUCGAGAUGUCAUUCGAGCUCACAAGGUACGACGCCAAGUGAACGGCCCCCAUGAUGCACCUUACGCUCAGCAGCUCGAUCUUGGGUGGGUCAUUGUUGGAGAUGUCUGUCUCUCAGGAGCUCAUAGGCCUACAGUGAACUCUUACAAGACAAAUAUUCUAGAUAAUGGUCGCCCCAGUUUCCUCUCACCCUGUGAAAAUAGAUUUUACACUAAACUGAAGUUCACAACAGAUAGCCCUCUUGUCCAAAGCACACAAGUCAAAGAUGAGCUGGGAAAAUGCAUAUUUAAACAAACAACAGAGGAUGAAAAGAUAGCACUGUCUGCAGAUGAUGAGGCUUUUGUGAACAUUAUGCGAAAUGAGUUCGCUAAAAAUGAAUCUAAUGACUGGGUAGCCCCACUUCCUUUCCGUUCUCCACGACCACGCUUACCCAACAACAGAGAGCAGACUCUCAAUCGCCUCAUGUCAUUAAGAAAGACACUGAAAAGAAAACCUGAGAUGGAGGACCACUAUCUGGAGUUUAUGGAAAGGCUCUUCAAAAAAGGACAUGCAGAAAAGGCUCCUCCCAUCAAACCCCACCAAGAAUGUUGGUAUCUUCCACACUUUGGCAUUUACCAUCCACAAAAGCCAGGUAAAAUAAGAAUUGUUUUUGACUCAAGUGCUGAGUGUGAAAAUGUCUCUCUAAAUCAGGUGUUGCUUAAAGGCCCUGAUUUAAAUAGCAGUCUUGUAGGUGUGCUUUUGCGCUUCAGGAGUGACCUAUAUGCUGUUAUGGCUGAUGUGGAGCAAAUGUUUCACAACUUUAGAGUCAGGGAAGACCAUCGCAACUACCUGCGCUUUCUGUGGUUCCAUGACCACAACUUGGAUGGACAAGUGGAAGAAUUUCACAUGACUGUUCAUGUGUUUGGAAAUUGCCCAUCACCAUCAGUUGCUAUUUACGGACUCAAGAGAACUGCUGAAGAAGGAGAAGAGGAAUAUGGCAGUGAUGUGAGGGAAUUUAUAGAGCGCCAUUUUUAUGUUGAUGAUGGGCUAAAAUCAUUCACCUCUGAGACUCAAGCUAUUGACGUGCUACGUAGAACGCAAAAAAUGCUGGCUCAGUCUAACAUUCGCCUACACAAGAUCUCAUCGAAUAGUCCUGUCGUUACCAGUGCUUUUCCACACGAAGAUCUAGCCACAGGGCUGCAGGGACUCGAUCUCGGACAACAUCCACCACCCAUGCAACACAGUCUGGGAUUAGGUUGGGACCUGUCUACGGAUCAGUUCUCAUUUCAAGUUGAGAUCAGUGACAAGCCUUUCACCAAACGAGGAGUGUUAUCUGUUAUCAAUAGUUUAUAUGACCCCCUUGGGUUUGCUGUGCCAGUCAGCAUUGAAGGUCGCUCCAUUCUGAGAGAGAUUUCUACUGACAUCAGUGAAUGGGAUACCCCACUACCGAAGGAGAAACAAGAGAGGUGGCAAAAAUGGAAAGACUCUCUAAAACACCUACAACAUCUUAAGAUUCCUCGAAUGUACACAUGCAUUCCAUUGUCCGUAGCACAAAGAAAGGAAGUGCAUAUUUUCUGUGACGCUUCCACUAAAGCUGUUGGGGCUGUGGCCUAUCUGAAGCUCAUCGACAUAAAUGGGAAGAGUGAAGUGGGUUUUCUUCUCGGCAAAGCUAGGCUUGCACCAAAGCCAGAUAUCACCAUUCCUAGGCUGGAACUUUGUGCCGCUGUACUGGCCGUAGAAGUGGCAGAACUGAUCCAGGGAGAGCUUGACACUAUCAUGCAUGAGGUAAACUUUUACACAGAUUCAAAAGUGGUGCUUGGCUAUAUCUUCAAUGAGAAGAGACGCUUCUAUGUGUAUGUCCAUAACCGUGUGGAACGCAUUAAACGUUCAACCGAGACCCAUCAAUGGCAUUAUGUGUCCACACAUCUUAACCCAGCUGAUCAUGCCACAAGAGCACUGCAUGCUAAGCAUCUACCCCUUUCUACAUGGCUCAGUGGACCUGCAUUCCUCGCCGACUCAGGGCAAAGUUCGACACAGGAAAAGCCCUUUGAUCUUAUUAGCCCCGAAACUGAUGCUGAACUGCGCCCGGAGAUUGUAUCAUGUGCUACCUCCUUGUCAGAACACAGGCUCGGAACUGCAAGAUUUGAAAGAUUCUCCAGUUGGACUUGUUUGAGAAAGGCUGUGGCUAGGUUGCAACACAUUGCUAAGACUUUCAAAGAAAACUCAGAAGAAAUAUGUCACGGAUGGCACAAGUGUAACAAGUACCUUACUGAAGAACAACUUCAGGUAGCAGGGGAUACCAUUAUCUAUGCAAUUCAAAGAGAGGUGUUUGCAGAUGAAAUCAGGGGUAUGGAAAAGGACAAUCCCAUGCACAAACAAAGCCCUUUCUACAAGUUAAGUCCCUUUAUGGACAGUAACAAACUUCUCAGAGUCGGAGGUCGACUUACAAGGGCUCAAUUGACAACAAAUGAAAAGUAUCCUGUAAUUAUUCCCAGCAAACACCACGUAUCUCAGCUCAUAAUUAGACACUUUCAUGCACAAGUACACCACCAGGGCAGACACUUCACUGAAGGUGCGAUCAGAGCUGCAGGGUUUUGGAUAGUUGGUGGGAAGAGAGCGGUUAGUGCUGUCAUCUUUCGCUGUGUCACAUGUCGAAGACUAAGAGGCAAACGGCAAGAGCAAGUUAUGUCAGAUCUGCCAGAAGACAGAAUGAACACAGAUCCUCCUUUCACAUGUGUAGGACUAGAUAUCUUUGGCCCAUGGACUGUCACAACUAGGAAAACGCGAGGAGGCCAAGCGGAGUCAAAAAGAUGGGCAGUCAUCUUUGUAUGUAUGAGCACUCGUGCCAUACACAUUGAAGUGAUCGAAUCUAUGGACACUUCAUCGUUCAUCAAUUCCCUGAGACGAUUCUUUGCCCUACGUGGUGCUGCUAAGUUGCUCAGAUCCGACUGUGGCACAAAUUUUGUGAGUGCUUGCCGAGAACUCCAAAUAAGUAAACUGGGGUGUCACAAUAAAGAAAUCAACAACUAUCUGGAAGAUAGUGGAUGUCAGUGGCUGUUUAAUCCACCACACGCUUCACAUAUGGCGGGAUCUUGGGAGCGUAUGAUUGGAGUCAGUCGGCGAAUUCUGGAGGCAAUGCUGCUGCAUCAUGGAAAUGCUAAGCUUACACACGAGGUGUUAGUGACGUUCAUGGCUGAAGUCACUGCAAUUGUCAAUGCACGGCCCCUUACAGCAGUUUCCACUGAUCCUGAGCAUCCUGAGAUCCUCACGCCUGCUAUGUUGCUCACACAAAAGGUUGGAGUGCCUCCGGUUCCACCGGGUCAGUUUGACAAUCAUGACCUCUUUAGAGCACAAUGGAGACGUGUUCAGUAUCUUGCGAAUGUAUUCUGGGGACGGUGGAAGAGAGAAUACCUCAGUGGAUUACAACAUCGUCGCAAGUGGAUGACACCAAAACCAAAUCUACAAGUCGGAGAUGUCGUUCUUCUCAAGGAAGGACAGGAAAAAAGGAACGACUGGCCUCUUGGACUCAUUACAAAAACUUUUACAAGCAAGGAUGACAUGGUCAGGAAAAUUGAAGUCAAAGUCAUUCGAAAUGGGGAAAAGAGACUAUACUUGAGGCCCAUCAGUGAAGUUGUCCUUCUGGUCUCUAGGGACUGCACCUAAAAGCCUCACAUAUCCUUUGAAACAGUGGUCUAUUUAAGUUGGUGUGACUUCUUACAGAUGUCAGACGGGGAGUAUUCUGCCCCUUAAAUGUUUUCUUCUUCAUUAAGAAAAUUAUAAUUAAAAGGUUCUUAGUAAUUUGCCCUGUAGAUUGUGUUAUUGAAUUAGAAGGCAGUGGCUCUGUAAUUGUUCUUUAGACGAACACUGCCAUCUUGUGUUCACAUUGUGGAAAGCAGCAAGUGACAGGAAAUAGGAAGAACAGAGUAGCCAUUUUGUAGAAGCUCUUGCAGUGGAAAGACCUACGUGCUGUGUCUCUGCUUACAACUUGGUAUUCUGCCCUUGAUAAGGCAUGAUCUUUUUACAAAGAAAAUAAGGAACAAAUAUUACAAGUGGUACAUCAGUAAAGCUUCAAAGAAUGCUACACUGUCUCACGAGUGCUUACUGAAGCCAUUUAUGUUUAGCUCGCUGCAUAGGCUAAAUAAGUACUUUUGGCUGAGGGCAGAAGAAUAUGUCUCUCGAGAUAUCAGUUCCUCUGCCAAGCGAUUGCUGAACCUAUUCUUAAUGGCUUGCCUAUUUAAAUAAAUGUUAAAUACAACAAAUACAAUACGAGGAGGUGCCUGUUAGGUUGUAAUAACUCUUCUUAAACCCCUUUCCUAAUCUUUCAGAAUGAAAUGCCUACUGCAUCCAAUCAGCUUGCAGUAGAAAAAACAAGCCAUGCCCACUGUUUGCUCAUUAAAAAUUCAGUUUCUUUAGGAUCUGCAUGACAUUACAAAAAAAAAAAAAAAAA